UACGAAGGGGGCUAGCGUUGCUCGGAAUCACUGGGCGUAAAGCGCACGUAGGCGGAUCUUUAAGUCAGGGGUGAAAUCCUGGAGCUCAACUCCAGAACUGCCUUUGAUACUGGGGAUCUCGAGUCCGGGAGAGGUGAGUGGAACUGCGAGUGUAGAGGUGAAAUUCGUAGAUAUUCGCAAGAACACCAGUGGCGAAGGCGGCUCACUGGUCCGGUACUGACGCUGAGGUGCGAAAGCGUGGGGAGCAAACAGG
rnacentral:rRNA from 1 species